rnacentral:rRNA from 1 species
GCCUACCAUGCAAGUCGAGCGAGAUCUUCGGAUCUAGCGGCGGACGGGUGAGUAACGCGUGGGAACGUACCCUCUUCUGCGGGAUAGCCACUGGAAACGGUGAGUAAUACCGCAUACGCCCUUCGGGGGAAAGAUUUAUCGGAGGAGGAUCGGCCCGCGUUGGAUUAGGUAGUUGGUGGGGUAAUGGCCUACCAAGCCUACGAUCCAUAGCUGGUUUUAGAGGAUGAUCAGCCACACUGGGACUGAGACACGGCCCAGACUCCUACGGGAGGCAGCAGUGGGGAAUCUUAGACAAUGGGCGCAAGCCUGAUCUAGCCAUGCCGCGUGAGUGACGAAGGCCUUAGGGUCGUAAAGCUCUUUCGCCUGUGAUGAUAAUGACAGUAGCAGGUAAAGAAACCCCGGCUAACUCCGUGCCAGCAGCCGCGGUAAUACGGAGGGGGUUAGCGUUGUUCGGAAUUACUGGGCGUAAAGCGCACGUAGGCGGAUUGGAAAGUAUGGGGUGAAAUCCCAGGGCUCAACCCUGGAACGGCCUCAUAAACUUCCAGUCUGGAGUUCGAGAGAGGUGAGUGGAAUUCCGAGUGUAGAGGUGAAAUUCGUAGAUAUUCGGAGGAACACCAGUGGCGAAGGCGGCUCACUGGCUCGAUACUGACGCUGAGGUGCGAAAGUGUGGGGAGCAAACAGGAUUAGAUACCCUGGUAGUCCACA